AACAUCGCGCACCUGCGGGAACCUGCGGAGGGAUCAUUACAGAGUUGCAAGACUCCCUAAACCAUUGUGAACGUUACCUAAACCGUUGCUUCGGCGGGCGGCCCGGGUCCUUCCCGGCGCCCCUCGGCCCUCGCGGGCGCCCGCCGGAGGUAAACCAAACUAUUGCAUUGUAUGGCCUCUCUGAGUCUUCUGUACUGAAUAAGUCAAAACUUUCAACAAUGGAUCUCAGAUCGGAAGAGC
rnacentral:misc_RNA from 1 species